GAAAAGAAACCGAUGCUCUAUAUACGUACAUUGUUUGAAUAGGGAUAUAAGAACCGGCCAGCACAAACUCUACUUUUCAGAUUUGCGUUAUCCUUAAAUAUGGCCAAAGUUUCCAGUUCCCAGAUUCUGGUCAUUUUCGCUGUUGUGGCCGCUGUUCUUUCAAAUACGCUCGACCUAAACACCCCGUUUGUUCUCGCUUCCCCACUUUUCGGGUGUUGCGGGAGAAAGUCUCGUGCCAAACGUGGUACUACGCAAAAUCAGGGAGCACCAGUGUAUUAUCCUCACCCAGCUCCAGGUCCUCGGCCAAACAACCCUUAUUUUUCUGAAACAAGUUCAGGUAGAAACAGCAUCCGUGCUAAAAGAGGGUGUUUUGGAUGCAAUCGUCGUAACAAACGUCACGCUGAGCAAGGACAAGGCGUACCGGUUUAUAGAACACACGCGCCACCGAAAGAGAUCGACCUUCGACCAGUACAACGAGUACGACGACAACUUCAAGAUAGGGAAGCUCGACUGUCAGCUACCCACGGAAAGCACGCACCGCCGAAGCCGCCUCGACGUCAUUCGACUACGUAACAUAUUGACUGUGCUAUAGAAUUAUGCGCUACAGAGUUGACGUACGAAAUAAAUAUUUACCAAGA